GGAUGCCUUGGCGAUAUCAGCCGAAGAAGGACGCGGUAAGCUGCGAUAAGCUACGGAGAGGUGCAAGCAACCUUUGACCCGUAGAUUUCCGAAUGGGGGAACCCGGCAGUGGUUAUGCACUGUCACCCAUACCUUUGAGUAUGAGGAGGGCACCUGGGGAACUGAAACAUCUAAUUACCCAGAGGAAGAGUAAUCAAACGAGAUUUUCUUAGUAGCGGCGAGCGAACGGGAAAGAGGCCAAACCGGAGCGGGCAACCGCACCGGGGUUGAGGACAGUCAUCAAGUGUAAAUGAGGUAGAAGAAUCGAGUUGGAAAGCUCAGCCGCAGAAGGUGAAAGCCCUGUAAUCGAAACCUUGCAUACAUGGGACUGUAUCCAGAGUACCACGAGACACGUGAAACCUUGUGGGAAGCAGGGGGGACCACCCUCCAAGCCAAAAUACUGAUAUCGACCGAUAGCGCAUAGUACCGUGAGGGAAAGGUGAAAAGAACCCCUGGCGGGGAGUGAAAGAGAACCUGAAACCGUAUGUCUACAAACAGUCGAAGUCUGUAUAUAUAUCAGGACGACGGCGUGCCUAUUGAAGAAUGAACCGACGAGUUACUGUUGCUAGCGAGGUUAAGUGGAAGACACGGAGCCGCAGCGAAAGCGAGUCUGAACAGGGCGUUCAGUUAGUAAUAGUAGACCCGAAACCGUAGUGAUCUAUCCAUGGCCAGGUUGAAGCACAGGUAAAAUUGUGUGGAGGACCGAACUCGUGAGCGUUGAAAAGCUUUGGGAUGAGUUGUGGAUAGGGGUGAAAUGCCAAUCGAACACGGAGAUAGCUGGUUCUCCCCGAAAUAGCUUUAGGGCUAGCCUCGAGGUUGAGAGUAUAGGCGGUAGAGCACUGAUCGGGCUAGGGGCCAUACCGGUUACCGAACCUAGUCAAACUACGAAUGGCUAUACUUAUACUCGGGAGUCAGACAGUGAAUGAUAAGGUCCAUUGUCAAGAGGGAAACAGCCCAGAACACCGACUAAGGUCCCCAAUGUCAUACUAAGUGGCGAAGGAUGUGGAAUUUCCAAAACAACCAGGAUGUUGGCUUAGAAGCAGCCACCAUUUAAAGAGUGCGUAAUAGCUCACUGGUCGAGAGACUCUGCGCCGAAAAUGUCCGGGGCUAAAGUAUGAAACCGAAGUCGUGUCAUAUGCAGCAAUGUAUAUGGGUAGGGGAGCGUUCUCAUCGGAUUGAAGCAGUACCGUAAGGAGUUGUGGACUGGUGAGAAGUGAGAAUGUCGGUAUGAGUAGCGAAAAGAAUGGUGAGAAUCCAUUCCACCGAAAGCCUAAGGGUUCCUGAGCAACGAUCGUCGUCUCAGGGUAAGUCGGGACCUAAGCCGAGGCGGAAAAGCGUAGGCGAUGGACAACAGGUUGAAAUUCCUGUACCGGUGUGAAUCGUUUGAUCGAAGGAGUGACACAGUAAGGUAGGUCAGCACGCGAUUGGAAGUGCGUGUUUAAGCAUGUAGGUUGAGUUAUAGGCAAAUCCGUAACUCUAAAAGCUGAGAUGUGAUGACGAGCUGUUUACAGCGAAGUGAUUGAUCCUACACUGUCGAGAAAAGCUUCUAGGUAGAGACACAUCGCCCGUACCAAAACCGACACAGGUAGGCGGGGAGAGAAUCCUAAGGUGCGCGGGAAAACCCUCGUUAAGGAACUCGGCAAAAUGCCUCCGUAACUUCGGGAAAAGGAGGACUCAUGUAGUGUGAAGGGCAGUAACGCGUGGAGCAUGAAUGAGUGGCACAAGAGAGGCGCAAGCGACUGUUUACCACAAACACAGGUGCCUGCUAAAGCGAAAGCUGAUGUAUAGGUGCUGACACCUGCCCGGUGCUGGAAGGUUAAGAGGAGGGGUUAGACUUCGGUCGAAGCUCUGAAUUGAAGCCCCAGUAAACGGCGGCCGUAACUAUAACGGUCCUAAGGUAGCGA
rnacentral:rRNA from 1 species